AGGACAUGGGUGAGUUUUUCAAAGUUGAGAAUAAUUCUCAAAUUUCGAAGUUGGUCUUUGUAAUUGGUACUGAUCAACCUAUUUGUAUCAAGAAUUCGAGCUAAGGGGUUUGAACUCGACAUGGUUAUCUAUAGAGAGAACAGUUUCUAGUUAGAUUUUAUACUUAUAAAAAUAUUUAUUCUAAGAAUUUUAAAAAUAAACAAAGACUCCCACUAUUUUUUUGAAUCUCU
rnacentral:lncRNA from 1 species